rnacentral:rRNA from 1 species
AUUGCCUCAGUAACGGCGAGUGAAGCGGCAAAAGCUCAAAUUUGAAAUCUGGCUCUUUUAGGGUCCGAGUUGUAAUUUGUAGAAGAUGUUUCGGGUGUGGUUCCGGUCUAAGUUCCUUGGAACAGGACGUCAUAGAGGGUGAGAAUCCCGUAUGUGACCGGUUGCCUUCGCCCAUGUGAAACUCUUUCGACGAGUCGAGUUGUUUGGGAAUGCAGCUCAAAAUGGGUGGUAUAUUUCAUCUAAAGCUAAAUAUUGGCCAGAGACCGAUAGCGCACAAGUAGAGUGAUCGAAAGAUGAAAAGCACUUUGGAAAGAGAGUUAAACAGUACGUGAAAUUGUUGAAAGGGAAGCGCUUGCAAUCAGACUUGCGCCUAGUUGAUCAUCUGGACUUCUGUCCAGUGCACUCGAUUAGGCUCAGGCCAGCAUCAGUUUGAGUGGUUGGAUAAAGGCUUAGGGAAUGUAGCCCCUCUCGGGGGGUGUUAUAGCCCUAGGUGCAAUGCAGCCUACUUGGACUGAGGACCGCGCUUCGGCUAGGAUGCUGGCGUAAUGGUUGUAAGCGACCCGUCUUGAAACACGGACCAAGGAGUCUAACAUUUAUGCGAGUAUUUGGGUGUUAAACCCAUAUGCGUAAUGAAAGUGAACGGAGGUAAGAACCCUUAAGGGUGCAUUAUCGACCGAUCCUGAUGUCUUCGGAUGGAUUUGAGUAAGAGCAUAACUGUUGGGACCCGAAAGAUGGUGAUCUAUACGUGAAUAGGGUGAAGCCAGAGGAAACUCUGGUGGAGGCUCGCAGCGGUUCUGACGUGCAAAUCGAUCGUCAAAUUUGCGUAUAGGGGCGAAAGACUAAUCGAACCAUUGACUACUAGGUGGUUAAGAAGAGAUCUAUGAGAUCUCCUAGUCCUAUUUUAUGGGACGACAUUGUCAAAUUGUUCGGGGACCACCUGAUAAAUUUCAAACUACCGCAGCCUAUUCGAAAGAUGGGUGCGCACCAAGGUUAAUGGCCUUGGGUAUGGUAACAACGUUUGAAUAGGGUGUAUCCGCAGCGAAAUCCUAAGGCCCAUAAAGCUAUGGAUAGCGUUCACAGACUAGACGGCAAUGGGCUUGAUGAGUAUCAUCAAGUUUAAGAUAUAGUCGAUACUUAUAGAGAUAU